rnacentral:lncRNA from 1 species
CUGGAAUUGCAACAAAGAUAUUAAACAAAGUUAUUAAGAGGAAAAGCUGAAAAAUGAAAAUUCAAUAUUUCAGAUCGAUACACCUAAAAGUUCUUGAACAUGAAAGACGAAAUAAGACCUGGAUGCAGAUUCACAAGGUUGCUUAUAAAGGAGCAUUAUGCCUCAGUAGAAAAAUAGUUUCAUAUCAGAGCUGGUAGAAAAAAAGUAUCUUUACAUACCCGUAAGGAAUCUCUCUGUUUCCCAUUGGACCACUAUACGAAGGAUCAUCUAGUUCAGGUAUGUAGGGAGGUUUUUUCUCUGCAAGAACAUCUUUGUAUUGAGGAUCGGAAUUUGGCCAAAACCACACAAUGCCAUUCUGCACGGUUGUUGGAUAAGCGGCUACACAUGCUUUCUUAUUCGUGUGAAUCUGCAAGUUGAAAGUGUCAUCCCUAUCAUCUUAUUUAAACUACAAACCAUGCACAGCAUAUAGUUUAUUGCCAUAGAACCACUUCUGCAGGAACAACAAGAAAAGAGUUUCGAUUCAAACUUGGAAUACUAUUACUAUAACUAAUGUUUAAAGUUCAUUAAAAUUGGUCCCUAUAGUUUCAAUUGACAUGAUUUAAUCCCUACAGCUUACGAAGGCCACAGUUCGUGUCUAGGAUUGGAUGAUAACUCACUAGAUUCUAUGAAUGCUGAAAUAAGAAAGGAACCCCAACUUCCAAGUUUUGUCAUAGUCGAGGAAUUAGAUGGAUUAAUCACGAAGGAAAUUAUCCCUUCCCGUUCUAGGCACCAAGAGUGGUGUAACUGUUGCAAUUGAAGGCCAAUGACUUUAAUUGUGUCAUUUUUUCAACAUAAUUAGUAUACAAUCGUCAUAUAAAAAGGAAAAAUUAGACUUUUUGGAGAUGUAAAACGCUAGCAUUACUGCAUGCUUUCACGCACUAAUUCCGUUGAAAAUCUAACAUAAUUAAGCCAUCGUCCUUGAACUGCAACAAUUAGUAAACUACAACAACACAAGGACGUCAAAUCAUAACAACUGAAACUACAGGAAUCAAAGUGGAAAAUUCGCAGAAACUACAGUGACCAAAAUCAUACUUUUUCAUGCAAAUCUAUGGUAUUAUUUGACAUCUCUAGCAGUCUAUCUAAUUAAUUUGUACGAAGGUUUACCAUAAUAACUAGCUGUACGUAUAUCUAUAUCUUACUUGCAUGAAGGUUUUCAGUCAAGGAUUAUUUACCGGAGGGCCAUCAGUUGGUGCUUGAGGGAUGAACUUGCAGUCGCCGGAGCCAUUAAAACACCAACCGUGAUAGACGCACUGCAACCUGCCCCACUGAUCAAUCCUCCCUUCCGACAACGGCGCCAACCUGUGCGGACAAGCAUCAUCGAACACCUUCCAAGCACUCUCGUUCCGGUCCCACCACACCACCACGUCUAUCCCCAAAACCGUCUUUCCAUGCGGGACCCUCUUAUCGAGAUCGCAAACCGGCAUCAACGGAUACCAUUGGGCGUACCAGUCGAAUUUCUCCUCCUGGGUCGGGUUUUCGAGUGAUGGGUCCGGUGGGUUUGCAGGCUCGGUCGAAACAGAGGAUUGUACGGCGGUGAAAGUCUUGAAUGCUGAUGAUGCGGUCCCUUGAAACGGUGAAAAAGAUGAAGUGGGGUGCGGGUUAAAUCCUGAGAUAGUAAAUUUUUUGGGUUGGGAUUUGUCAAAUUUGGUGGGAAAUUGCAGUGAGGGAAGAGAUGAAAUUCUCAGAGCUUCCAUGGCUGGUGCCACGAAUGGAGCUCAACGAGGUAAGAACUUGGAGGCUCAAAAGUGUAAAGCUUUGAACGUGGCAUGCAGUAAAAAGAAACUUGAGGUGCAGAUUUGGGAUGAGAAUUUUGUCGACAGAAGUGGAUAACAUGACAAGUGGUUCAAGGCUUAACUGGUCAUAAUGUUUUAGUUUGCUAUUCAAUGCAUGCCCAACCACAUAAUGUUUUGUUCCUUUUCUGUUUUUCCCUUUUUCUUUUAUUUUUUAGGUGAUGAUUUUAGGAAAAUAACUAACUCUAUGCAACGAACGAUACGGAAUGCAACCAUUUACCAAACUGAGAGAUGAUCCACAUUAUCCAAUAGACAACAUUGACAUUAGCAUGAUACUCUUUGUAUGGCGUACAAACUCAUGCUCAACAGUGUUUAGUUUACAUGCAUUCGGAUCACGUAUGCUUCGUAAUUACAUUACCCCGCGCGGUGUUUAUUGUUGUAUUAAGCUAAACGCACGGUGAGCGAAGAUUAACCAGAUCACCGGAAAGCAUGGUUGUAGUCAUGAAAGUGAAACUGUUUGUAGAUAAAGUAUGCCAACCAUUUUGAAGCUGCAAAUGAUAGUAUAGCUGCUGCAACGAGCGUAGUUCUUGCAGCCACUGAUAUGGCAGCCUGCUUGGUUGCAGCAACAAUUCCCACUACAGCAAAAGCGGCAAACUGCAAUACAACUUCGAGCACUUUCAGACCUUUGUAUCCGGCACUGCAACUGCUGCAGUUUACCACAUGGGACCAGUACCUGAAAAGGUUGUGCAAACACCCGUCGAUGAUGAUUCAACAAUAAGAGGACUUUUAAGUUUUAACACUCUCCAACUUAGUUCUUAUGGCCAUGACACAACCUGGCAAAGCAAAUGCUUGCAUUUCAACUAAUAAACCCAAAUUUUUCGAAUGUGUGCUGGAAAUUUCUAUAUCUUUUGCUGGCCUGAAGACUCGAAGAACAAACUGAGAGAUGCUUGAAGGUGUGUUAUAACAGAUCAGGUUUGUAAAAGUUGCAGGAACACCAAAUUUUAGCAUAUUUUCGAGACCGCUAUGAUCUACUUUGAUGCCAUCAGAAUUUCCCAUAUAAACUGUUCUAAUUUUCUGAAACUAAGUAAUCAAUUUGUUGUUUGAAUCCUGCUUCAUAACUAUGUGAAAGUUACCUGUCCAGCAACUGUUCUCUAGGAGGAGUGGGGGGAAGAGCCCCACUGAACUUGCCUCUCCAAUCUACCUGACCGCCAGCGUACUUGUUUAACCAUUUUCUGAAACCAACCACAAGGGCAUCUGACUUUGUUGGCACAAAACAUGCUUUUUGCCACUGGGCAGGGCCAGCUUCCAUUAUCUUACGUUCCUGUACGAAGAACUCAAGACUCAGGCAAGAAUAAGUGCGAUAAGAGAUUCACCAAAGACUCGUAUUCUGUGGUCAUGCAGCUGCACACUUUAACUCAAUAGAAUGUUUUUCUUAUUGUUCAGAAGAAAAGCCUCAACCAAGUCUUACACAUUCAGCAAGUGAAAAGCAAGAUAAUUUCUAAACCUACUAUUUUUUUUGAGAAGAUUUCUAAACCUACUAUCAAGAGUUAAAAGUCACCUCAACAUGAAGAAGAUAUAUAUCGGAGUCCAGAACCAGAUUUUGUCCAAUAUGAAACAUCCACCGCGGAACAAUCUUAUCAAUCCAAAUGCCGAAGUUUCUUGGGAAGGUCGAUAUCAACCUGCUAUUACCCGGACUAACUGGGAUACAAAUAAAAAUUAGAAGACUUCUCCGCUGGGCUGAUGACACCUACACAAAUCACCAUACACAUAAAGAGAUGUACAAAAGGAUUUAAAGAUAAAGGAUUUGAACAAAAACAGAAUGUUCUACCUUUUUGGUUUCAGCUGAUGAUGCAGCCCCAUUACCCUGCUCAAGUGGAUCAAGUGGAGUACCGUAGAAUACACAUGGUGGCAAAAAUUUACUCCAACCCCAUUCCUGCUUUGCGAUGAAACCAUUUAUGUCUAACUUCUCAACUCUCAAAUCCAAUGGUCUACCCCCUUCUCUAUCAGCUUUCUCUGUAAAGAAAUGAACUUUAAAUCAUCCUGAACCUCCUAUACAAAGUGAAAUUAACUUCAUGAAAGUGAUGCAUAAACUAGUAUUUGCCUUUGGGUUGUCUCAUUUGCAUUAUUCCAUAAUGCGCAUAUGGAACAUGAGCAGGGUCCAUAAGAUUUUCAAUCAAGACCUCGUACCUGGAAUUGCAAUAAGGAUAUUAAGCGAAGUUAUUAAGAGGAAAACUGAAAAAUGAAAAUUCAAUAUUUCAGAUUGAUACACCUAAAAGUUCUUGAACAUGAAAGACAAAAUAAGACCUGGAUGCAGAUUCACAAGGUUUCUUAUAAAGAAGCAUUAUGCCUCAGUAGAAAAAUAGUUUCAUAUCAGAACUGGUAGGAAAAAAAAGUAUCUUUACAUACCCGUAAGGAAUCUCUCUGUUUCCCAUUGGACCACUAUACGAUGGAUCAUCUAGUUCAGGUAUGUAGGGAGGUUUUUUCUCUGCAAGAACAUCUUUGUAUUGAGGAUCGGAAUUUGGCCAAAACCACACAAUGCCAUUCUGCACAGUUGUUGGAUAAGCGGCUACACAUGCUUUCUUAUUCGUGUGAAUCUGCAAGUUGAAAGUGUCAUCCCUAUCAUCUUAUUUAAACUACAAACCAUGCACAGCAUAUAGUUUAUUGCCACAGAACCACUUCUGCAAGAACAACAAGAGAGGAGUUUCGAUUCAAACUUGGAAUACUAUUACUAUAAAUAAUGUUUAAAGUUCAUUAAAAUUGGUCCCUAUAUUUCAAUUGACGUGAUUUAAUCCCUAUAGUUUACGAAGGCCAC